rnacentral:rRNA from 1 species
AUUGAACGCUGGCGGCAGGCCUAACACAUGCAAGUCGAGCGGAUGAAGGGAGCUUGCUCCUGGAUUCAGCGGCGGACGGGUGAGUAAUGCCUAGGAAUCUGCCUGGUAGUGGGGGAUAACUUCCGGAAACGGGCGCUAAUACCGCAUACGUCCUGCGGGAGAAAGCGGGGGAUCUUCGGACCUCACGCUAUCAGAUGAGCCUAGGUCGGAUUAGCUAGUUGGUGGGGUAAAGGCCUACCAAGGCGACGAUCCGUAACUGGUCUGAGAGGAUGAUCAGUCACACUGGAACUGAGACACGGUCCAGACUCCUACGGGAGGCAGCAGUGGGGAAUAUUGGACAAUGGGCGAAAGCCUGAUCCAGCCAUGCCGCGUGUGUGAAGAAGGUCUUCGGAUUGUAAAGCACUUUAAGUAGGGAGGAAGGGCAGUAAGUUAAUACCUUGCUGUUUUGACGUUACCAACAGAAUAAGCACCGGCUAACUACGUG